ensembl:lncRNA
GUCAGAGGACACCCUUCUGGUAGGCCUGGGUCAGAGGGGUCAGAGGACACCCUUCUGGUAGGCCUGGGGCUGAGGGGUCAGAGGACACCCUUCUGGUAGGCCUGGGUCAGAGGGGUCAGAGGACAGCCUUCUGGUAGGCCUGGGUCAGAGGGGUCAGAGGACACCCUUCUGGUAGCCUGGGGCUGAGGGGUCAGAGGACACCCUUCUGGUAGGCCUGGGUCAGAGGGGUCAGAGGACACCCUUCUGGUAGGCCUGGGUCAGAGGGGUCAGAGGACACCCUUCUGGUAGGCCUGGGUCAGAGGGGACAGAGGACACCCUUCUGGUAGGCCUGAGGCUGAGGGGUCAGAGGACACCCUUCUGGUAGGCCUGGGGCUGAGGACACCCUUCUUGUUGGUCUGGGGCAGAGGGGUCAGAGGACACCCUUCUGGUAGGUUUGGGGCAGAGGGGUCAGAGAACACCCUUCUGGUAGGUCUGGUGCUGAGGGGUCAGAGGACACCCUUCUGGUAGGCCUGGGGCUGAUGACACCCUUCUGGUAGGUCUGGGGCUGAGGGGUCAGAGGACACCAUUCUGGUUGGCCUGGGGCUGAGGACACCCUUCUGGUAGGCCUGGGGCAGAGGACACCCUUCUGGUAGGUCUGGGACUGAGGGGUCAGAGGACACCCUCCUGGUAGGCCUGGGGCUGAGGACACCCUUCUGGUUGGCCUGGGGCAGAAGGUUCAGAGGACACCCUUCUGGUAGGCCUGGGUCAGAGGGGUCUGAGGACACCCUUCUGGUAGGUCUGGGGCAGAGGGGUCAGAGGACACCCUUCUGGUAGGUCUGGGGCAGAGGGGUCAGAGGACACCCUUCUGGUAGGUCUGGGGCAGAGGGUUCAGAGGACACCCUUCUGGUUGGUCUGGGGCAGAGGGGUCAGAGGACACCCUUCUGGUAGGUCUGGGGCAGAGGGGUCAGAAGACACACUUCUGGUAGGUCUGGGGCAGAGGGGUCAGAGGACACACUUCCGGUAGGUCUGGGGCAGAAAGUUCAGAGGACACCCUUCUGGUAGGCCUGGGUCAGAGGGGUCAGAGGACACCCUUCUGGUAGGCCUGGGGCUGAUGACACCCUUCUGGUAGGUCUGGGGCUGAGGGGUCAGAGGACACCAUUCUGGUUGGCCUGGGGCUGAGGACACCCUUCUGGUAGGCCUGGGGCAGAGGACACCCUUCUGGUAGGUCUGGGGCAGAGGGGUCAGAGGACAC